UACGAGUGCCCCAAGCGUUAUCCGGAAUUAUUGGGCGUAAAGGGUGUGUAGGUGGUUGUGUUAGUCUCAUGUCAAAUUCUUCGGCUUAACCGGGGUACCGCAUGGGAUACGGCACAACUAGAGGAUGCGAGGGGUGAAUGGAACUCAUGGAGUAGGGGUGAAAUCCGUUGAUAUCAUGGGGAACACCAAAAGCGAAGGCAGUUCACUGGCGCACUCCUGACACUGAAACACGAAAGCGUGGGUAGCGAAUGGG
rnacentral:rRNA from 2 species